UGCAAGCUCCGCCUCCCGGGUUCACGCCAUUCUCCUGCCUCAGCCUCCCGAGUAGCUGGGACUACAGGCACCUGCCACCACGCCCGGCUAAUUUUUUUGUAUUUUUAGUAGAGAUAGGGUUUCACCGAGUUAGCCAGGAUGGUCUCAAUCUCUUGACCUCGUGAUCUGCCCGCCUCGGCCUCCCAAAGUGCUGGGAUGACAGGCGUGAGCCCCCACGCCCGGCCAGAAGAAAGGCUUUAUGAGAAGAAUGUUGACAUUAUGACAGCAAAUUGUGUGCCUGCUGGCUGUCUGGGUUUAACCCACCCAUCAUAGCACCAUGCAGCCCCCCAUCAGAACGUAAGCUGCCGAGGAGAGGGACCUUUUUCUUUGCUCUGUUUGUCUCACUACAGGGACCCCAGGAAAUGGAAGGGCACCUGGCCCACAGCAGCCUUCCCGAUUCAGAGUCCAGAAUGUUCACCAUUACACCAUGGAACCGUCUUCACGCUGGCAGGAAGGCGUUGCCCAGGGAAGAACUGGGGGAAGCAGCUUUCCCCCCACUCAGGAGAGGGCCCGCACAGGUGAGGGCCCGCACAGGUGAGCACCCACCCAGGCCGUGCAGAAGCUUGGCCUCCUGACUUGGAACCUGAUGCUGGAGUGAAGAAUAUACCUCGUUUAGGGGGACACCCUCCUUCCCACUUCCCAGUUGCCACCUGCGUGCUGGGGCGGCAAAGCAUAAAGGCCGGCAGGUCCUUCCAGAACCCAGGAAGGUGGGAACCGCACCACAGUCAUUGCCGGCGUAAAACCCCAGGGCCGGCAGGUGCUGUGUGCAAAGUGAACAGCUUCAUGCUUCUACCCUCACCUGCAAAGGAAUAAUAGAGACAGGGUCUCCUUCUGUUGCCCAGCUUGGAGUGCACCUGUGUGAUCAUAGCCCACUGCAGACUCCACCUCCCGGGUUCAAGCAAUCCUCCUGCCUCAGCCUCCCCAGUAGCUGGGAACACAGCUGCAUGUACCACCACGCCUGGCUCAUAUUUUUUAGACAUUUUAAUUUAUUCAGGGUCACAAAGUUACUUUUUUUUUUCUUUUUUUUUUUUGAGACAUACUCUUGCUCUGUCGCUCAGGCUGGAGUGCAAUGGCGCCAUCUCGGCUCACUGCAACCUCCGCCUCCCGGGUUCAAGCCAUUCUCCUGCCUCAGCCUCCCGAGUAGCUGGGAUUACAGGCACACGCCACCACGCCCGGCUAAUUUUUGUAUUUUUAGUGGAGACGUGGUUUCACCACAUUGGCCAGGCUGGUCUUGAACUCCUGACCUCAGGUGAUCUACCUGCCUUGGUCUCCCAAAGUGCUGGGAUUACAGGCACCCGCCACCAUGCCUGGCUAAUGUCUGUAUUUUUAGUGGAGACGCGGUUUCACCACAUUGGCCAGGCUGGUCUCGAACUCCCGACCUCAAGUGAUCCGCCCCCAUCAGCCUCCCAAAGUGCUGGGAUGACAGGUGUGAGCCACCGCGCCCGGCCACACAGUUACCUUUUUAUGUGACAUGCAUCAUGUAGAUGGAAGAGAAAUCAAACAGUGCCGUCUGCCAUGGGGGGAUUGCAGCCUGUUCCAAUGUCUCAUUUAUUCUCUGAGUACUGGGACUCUCUGGGAUGAGAAGACUGAUGGUUCCUAACCCAGGCAGGGGCAAUGCAUGACUUUUGACGCCUGGGAGAAGUCCUUCCUUCCUGGACCGUAUUCUGACACGGAGUGCGUCUCACGCUUUACCCGACGGUACCCACAGUGACCUUCACCGCGGCCACCGGCCGGGGCUGUCUUCUGGAUCUUAAGCGGCUUGAGGGAACUCUCUGUCCACUUCUGGGUUGAUUGAAUUUUUAUCAUGAGAAGGCACUGCCUUUGCUCAAAUGCUUUUGCUGCAUUUCUGGAAGUGAUCAUGUGAGUUUGGCCCCUUAGCCGUGAAUACAGUGCGUCACAUUCACGGGUUUUCCAGAAAAGAGCUGUGUUGAGAGAUAAUUUACACAGCCGACAAGGUAUCCACUUAAACUCUUCCAACCCGUGGCUUUCUGUAUGCAGAGACUUGUGCCACCAUCACCACAGUCUAUUUUAUUGCUUUAUUUAUAUUUGUAUUUUUUUUUUUUUUUUUUUAGAGACAGGGUCUCGCUCCUGUAGACUUGGACUGUCAGGCUCACGGGAUCUUCCCUCCUCAGCUCCCCAAGU